rnacentral:lncRNA from 1 species
CAGCUGCUCCUGUCCCGGCGUCCGGAGUCGGUGAGCUUCGCACGGAGUGUGUGUGGCCUCCUGGGAGCCGGACCAGGGCUCGGGACGUGGCCCAUUCACUGCAGCUUGAAGCGAGGACGGCUUGUCCUCUCGAGCAGGCCCUUCCCAGGCGCCUCCGCUAGGCUUCCGCUCCAGGUGGGCACGUGGAACUUGAGGAGGAGGUAACCAGUCAGCUGAUCCAACCUGAGCCAAGAGACCCAUGCCUGGGACCAUCUUGGGUGUGGGCUGAGGGAGAGGCAAGCAAAAGGACUUGGAAGAGUCAGGCACUGGCCCCUCUGAUGUGUCUUCUCUGACUCCCAGCUGCUGGACGGAGGGCUUCGAGAACUUUGGGAGGAGAGUGGACUACACCUGCCCCAGGGCCAGUUCUCUUGGGUCCCUCUGGGUUUAUGGGAGUCUGCCUACCCUCCUAGGCUGAGCUGGGGUUUACCCAAAUACCAUCACAUUGUUCUGUAUCUACUCGUGAUCUCCCAGGAAUCACAGCAGCAGUUGCAGGCCCGGAUCCAACCAAACCCAAAUGAGGUGAGCGCCCUUAUGUGGCUGACACCAGAUGUAGCUGCUGCAGUGGCUGCCGCAGAGGAUGGGACAGAGACACCCGGACU